GACGAACGCUGGCGGCGUGCUUAACACAUGCAAGUCGAGCGAUGAAGUUCCUUCGGGAACGGAUUAGCGGCGGACGGGUGAGUAACACGUGGGUAACCUGCCUCAUAGAGGGGAAUAGCCUUUCGAAAGGAAGAUUAAUACCCCAUAAGAUUGUAGUACCGCAUGGUAUAGCAAUUAAAGGAGUAAUCCGCUAUGAGAUGGACCCGCGUCGCAUUAGCUAGUUGGUGAGGUAACGGCUCACCAAGGCGACGAUGCGUAGCCGACCUGAGAGGGUGGUCGGCCACAUGGGGACUGAGACAAGGCCCAGACUCCGACGGGAAGCAGCAGUGGGGAGUAUUGCACAAUGGGGGAAACCCUGAUGCAGCAACGCCGCGUGAGUGAUGACGGUCUUCGGAUUGUAAAACUCUGUCUUCAGGGACGAUAAUGACGGUACCUGAGGAGGAAGCCACGGCUAACUAUGCGCCAGCAGCCGCCGCAG
rnacentral:rRNA from 1 species